rnacentral:rRNA from 1 species
UACGUAGGGGGCUAGCGUUGUCCGGAAUCAUUGGGCGUAAAGCGCGUGUAGGCGGCCCGGUAAGUCCGCUGUAAAAGUCGGGGGCUCAACCCUCGAAAGCCGGUGGAUACUGUCGGGCUAGAGUACGGAAGAGGCGAGUGGAAUUCCUGGUGUAGCGGUGAAAUGCGCAGAUAUCAGGAAGAACACCCGUGGCGAAGGCGGCUCUCUGGGACGGUACUGACGGCUGAGACGCGAAAGCGUGGGGAGCGAACAGG